GGCCGUGUGGCUCAAUGGCAGAGCGUCUGACUACGAUAAACAGGUUACAAUGUUUAGUUGGUGAUCAGAAGGUCGCAGGUUCGACCCCUGUCUCGGUCA